rnacentral:lncRNA from 1 species
UCCUCUUAAAUUUUCUUCCAUAUUCCACACUUUCUUUUGCUUCUUACGCCAUCAGAUGGCACCUUGGGAUGUAUGGAUGCAGAAGAGAAGGAAGAGUCCUUUUCUAUGAAGGAACUCACAUGCCAAAAAUAAUGGAAUGCCCACUUUAUUUAUGUAUUGAAAGAAGGAAGAGUCCUUCUUAUUCAAGACUCUUGGUUUCACACUAAUUCCCUUAUCCCACGUCCCAUC